UCCCUAGUAGCGGCGAGCGAAGCGGGAAGAGCUCAAAUUUAUAAUCUGGCACCUUCGGUGUCCGAGUUGUAAUCUCUAGAAGUGUUUUCCGCGUUGGACCGCACACAAGUCUGUUGGAAUACAGCGGCAUAGUGGUGAAACCCCCGUAUAUGGUGCGGACGCCCAGCGCUUUGUGAUACACUUUCAAUGAGUCGAGUUGUUUGGGAAUGCAGCUCAAAUUGGGUGGUAAAUUCCAUCUAAAGCUAAAUAUUGGCGAGAGACCGAUAGCGAACAAGUACCGUGAGGGAAAGAUGAAAAGCACUUUGGAAAGAGAGUUAACAGUACGUGAAAUUGUUGGAAGGGAAACGCUUGAAGUCAGACUUGCUUGCCGGAGCUUGCUUCGGUUUGCAGGCCAGCAUCAGUUUUCCGGGGUGGAUAAUGACGGUUUGAAGGUAGCAGUCUCGGCUGUGUUAUAGCUUUCCGUUGGAUACAUCCUGGGGGACUGAGGAACGCAGCGUGCUUUUUGCGAAAGACUCGUCUUUUUCACGCUUAGGAUGCUGGUGGAAUGGCUUUAAACGACCCGUCUUGAAACACGGACAAC
rnacentral:rRNA from 1 species